GACCGCCAGUGAAAAUCGAUUUUCACUGGCGGUCGGCGUAAUAAAACCGCCAGUGAAAAUCGAUUUUCCCUGGCGGUC
rnacentral:pre_miRNA from 7 species